AUUGAACGCUGGCGGCAGGCUUAACACAUGCAAGUCGAACGAGGGGCGGACGGGUGAGUAAUGUCUGGGAAACUGCCUGAUGGAGGGGGAUAACUACUGGAAACGGUAGCUAAUACCGCAUACCAUCAGAUGUGCCCAGAUGGGAUUAGCUUGUUGGUGGGGUAAUGGCUCACCAAGGCGACGAUCCCUAGCUGGUCAGAGAGGAUGACCAGCCACACGGGAACUGAGACACGGGCCAGACUCCUACGGGAGGCAGCAGUGGGGAAUAUGGCACAAUGGGCGAAAGCCUGAUGCAGCGAUGCCGCGUGUGUGAAGAAGGCCUUCGGGUUGUAAAGUACUUUCAGCGGGGAGGCGUUACGCGCAGAAGAAGCACCGGCUAACUCCGUGCCAGCAGCCGCGGUAAUAC
rnacentral:rRNA from 1 species